AUUUCAGUGGACUUGCUGGAUAUUUGGAUGUCUACAGCUUACCCUGAGAAAGGUACCAAAUCCAGGGUGACUGACUGGCAGACGAAGUAGCAAAAAGAACAGUCUCUUUCACACCUUCUUUUCUUCUACAUCUGCUCUCCCCAACCUUCUGAGGAUGCUUCCACCUUGUAUACUGUUUUCCUUAACUUUGGUUCGGUAAGUCCUUCUCUAGAUAAGCAUGCAUACUGUAUAGCUGUAUUUCAAAAUACAUUCAACAAAA
rnacentral:lncRNA from 12 species